UUUUGCACAAUGCAAAAGACUUAUGCGGAUAACCACCGCGUAGCCAGGAGAACUGGCAUUGGACUCCUAAAAGGAGAAACAAAAUG
ncrna:unclassified sequences freshwater-2 RNA